CUAGGCAAGCCAAUUAUUUAAACAUUUCACAAAUUUUUAUUUAGUGCAAUAUGAUAAACUGAAAUAAAUACUUAAAUAUGCGAAAGACUUUUAAAUACUUAAAACAGAAAACAUAGGAUAUGAAGAUCUCCAAUUACAUUUUCUACCCAGUAUCCGGUGUCAUCACUCACGGACUACUAAUGAGUACUAGAAAUAUCAGUCUGAAAAAAAAUACACAGAAGUCUGUCUCGAUACAAGUAAACAAACUGAAAUAACAUAGAUGAGAUUCCGAGCCCGCGGACGUCAGCAAAGCUACCUAGAAGUAUCUGGACUGAAGGUACACUCCCAAUCUACUACUGCGGCGGUCCGUAAACUGCUCCCUGAUCUGUGCACAAAAAGGCACAGAAGUGUAGCAUCAGCACAACCGACCCCAUGUGGGCCCGCGGACGUCAAGAAGGCUACCUCCGUGUCUCUGGACUGAAGGCCUGCUCCCAAUCUACUGCUGCUGUCCAAAAGCUGCUCCAAAAGAGUACAGAGUGUAUCAUCAGCAUAACCGACCCCAUGUGGUGGUAAGUGCCUGGUCUAACCCCGGUGAGGUAGUGACGAGGCUAGACAGGACCUACCACAAAUGACCUGUACAGAUAUGUGCAAUAACAGGAAAAUAUGCUAAUCUAAUCGGUUAAAAAGGGAGGGAAGCAUGUUGUGGGGUACAACAGUUCAAAUACAUAAAUCAGCUAAUAAGAAGGAAAACUGAGCGGAUAACAACUGAUAAAGAAAUACCGGAAAGCUUAACACACAGAACAAUAUACUUAGUCCAUAUUCCCAUUGUGGCGCGCAACCUGAUCCUCAAUAUUUAAUACCGUUGCGGCGUGCAACCCGAUCCUCGACAAUUAAUCUCGUUGCAGCGUGCAGCCCGAUCCUCAAUAUUUAGUACCGUUGCGGUGUGCAACCCGAUCCUCGAUAUUUACCAACAAAACUAACCCAACAUCAUUCGCAGCUCAAGGGCGAGGGGUGAAACAUCAAAAUACAAGAGCCCCGGCGAGGGAGUAUAACUAACAGCUCAAUUAUCCCGACAAGGGAAAGUUCAAUUUAUACCAAAAUUCCGGCAAGGGAAAUAAUCACAAGACUUCCACUUCUAACACUUAAGUACCAACAACUCUAAGUCGAGUCAAUGAUCCAAUAAUCUAUACAAAUUUUUAUUUGUCCUCAACCAAUCAUAUCAUGUGAACUCAAUCAAUUUAAGCGACAAGUAAUACCACAUUAUUCAAAUUAAAAUAAUUCAAGAUCCACAGUCAUGCUAGACUCGGAAGCAUAGAUAACCGUCACCAUACCUAUACACCGACUCCAUAUAGCACAUAGCAAAUAAUGUCUGAAUCCUAUUUCCUCAAGCCAAAGUUAGAUCAAACACUUACCUCGACCCGAAAAUAGCAAUCAACACUCUAAAAUCGCCUUUUCUCUAGAAUCCAACUCCGAAACAAUGAUAUCUAGACAUAAUUAGAUUCAAUAAUAGCUCAAAGACACCAUUCCAUAGCUUAGAAAUAAAUUUUUUAUUAUUCUUUCAAAAAUACCAAAAUCCGACACCGGGCCCACAUGGUUCAAACUCGAGGCUCAAACCAAAUUCUAGUCACCCUUGACCACACGAGUUCAAAUAUAUAAUUUAUUUAAGGAUUGGACCCAAAUUGAAGUUGAAUCGCCCGAAAUUCCCAAAAAGCCUAACUCUACCAGAAAGCCCUAAUUUCUACUGUGAUUUCAUAUUUUUAUGGUAGGAUUUUAGUGAUUAGAUGAAGAAAUAAUGAGGGAAUGGUGUUAAAAUUACUUACUCAAAGAGUUAUGGAGACGGAAGCUCUUAAAAUUCGUCUAGGGAGGGUUUGAGUGAAGGGCUCGUGUGAAAAAUGGCAAAAAUCCCGAGCACACUGUUCUGUUUUAAACUUAAAAUCAUUGGAAUGUUUUUGGUCUAUGCGAUCACGGGGCAACAGAUGCGAUCGCAUAGAGGAGUGGGAAAGUUGGCUUCCGCGAUCGCAGAAGAAAUUAUGCGAUCACGUAAAGGAAAGGAAGUCUGAAAUUUUGGUGAGGUACAAAGCUACGCGAUCGCGUAUAGGGGAAUGCGAUCGCAUUGAGGAGACUGGCAAAGCUAUGCGAUCGUGUAUGAAUCCAUGCAAACGCAUUGAACAAAGUGAGAUGGCCACAAAAGGGACUCUAUGCGAUCGCAUACAUGCCUAUGCGAUCGCAUAGAGGAAUAGGUCUGUGCAAAAAUUGCAGAAUUUCUAAUGCAUUCUAUGUCCAAAAACACUCCGAACCACCCCGGAAUCACUCCCGAGCCCUCGGGGCUCCCAACCAAACACACACUCUAACUCAAUAUUAUCCUACAAACUUGCUUGAGCAAUCAAAUCGCUAAAAUAACAUCAAUAUCAAACAAUCAACCCCCAAACUCAUAAUUUAAUUUCAAAGAUCAUCAACCUUCAACUUUAGAUAUCUAAGUCCGAAACAGGUCAAACAACGUCCGAUUUCGACCAAAUUUUACAGGAAUCGCUUAAACCAUAAUAUGACAUGUACCGGGCGUCGGAACACAAAUAUGAGCCCGAUACCAUUACUUUUUUAUCAAAUUUCACUUCCAUUUUCCUUAGACAUAUUCAAAAAAAAAUUCACGGAAAAAUUCUUUUCUCGGGCCUAGGGCCUCAGAUUUUGAUUCCGGGAAUACACCCCAGUCCCAUAUUUUCCUACGAACUCUUCGAGACCAACACAUCACAGGUCGGAAUCCGUCUACCCAAAAUAUUGACCAAAGUCAACUAUAUCAGUAUUAUUAUCAAAAUUCAUAGUUUUUAACACAAAGUUCAUAUAUUUCCACAUAAAAACUUUUCGGCUUUGCCUCCGGACUACGCACGCAAAUCGAAGCGACCAACUAAGAGGUUUUCAAGGCUUCAGAAGUACAAAAAAAUAGGGAAUUACGGUGAUGACCCUUAUUAUUUGUCCCUACAACGAAAAGGAAACCUAAUUAAUCAUACCAAGUUAAAUUAAGAACUUAACCCUUUUAGUCCAAAGCCAACUGACCCGCCUGCACAAUGGGCGGUGGUACAGGCCAAUCAUCUGAGCCCAAUCAUGAAUAAAAGACAACUGAGGACGUUGGUGCCUCCAGCUUGGGAUCGAAUCCCACUGGCUGCUCAAGUCAGCGUUUCCCAUCGAAAUUGAAACGGUUUGGGACAAAGGAUGGGACUAAGCCACUUCCCAGUUGGGCCUGCAUGUGAGCCCAAAUAUGUGAAAAGCCUUUGAUGAGAGGAAACAAAGCAAUUAUAAGGAGAUAACCCAGCCUUAAUCACUACCACAUUCUCAGCAGUUGAAACCUAAUUGAUUAAUAGUAGUCUUUAAACUAAAUAAGCCUGAUUCAAUAAUGCCAUUAUUUAAACAAGCGUGAUUUAAAAAUUACCAAGUAAACACGAAUCCGAAACAUGCUGCCUACCAUAAACUAACAAAAGAAGUCAUCAAAUCAACUGAAUCUAAUCUAAUGUAUAAAACUAUUCGAAUCAAAUUAGUGGUUGCUAAAUAUGUAUCACAUAAUUCUGAUAAAGCAUACCAUGUUAUCCUAACAACAUCAAAAUGAACUAAUAGGUUAAAACAAUCCCAAAAUAGUCCUUACAACAUAUAAUCCAACAGUUAUCCUAGCAAUGCAAAGGUAAGUUAAACACUCAGUUAUCUCACAACUAUCAUAUGGCAAAAACAAUAUUGUCCGUACGAAUUGGAAUUUGGCCAAUGCUUCUAUUUCAAACUCAUUCAACAUUAUAUCAAGGUGAUCCAAAGGUGUACCCGGAGAUAGAAUUCAACAGAAGAAGAAGGAACAACUAUCAGAUGGCAAAGAAAAUAUUGUCCAUACGAAUUGGAAUUUGGCCAAUACUUCUAUUUCGAACUCAUUCAACAUUACAUCAAGGUGAUCCAAAGGUAUACCUGGAGAUAGAAUUCAACAGAAGAAGAAGGAGAUCAGCUACAACAACAUAAUGGCAGCAAUAUGCAGAAGUCAGCAACAGCAGAAAUCAAUAAUCAAUCCAAGAAUGAACUUCAGAAUUCCAAAGCUUUUAAAACCAAAUAGAAUUGAGAGAUCUACUCAAAACCGUUGCAAAUAGACCCAAUAAACUUAAAAAUAGCCCAGAAUGCACUAAUCACUUUCAGCAAAACAGAGUUCAUUCAAAAUCAGGCUCGAUUGGACCUAAACUCAUUCGAAAUCAACUCAUGUAUCUAUGAAGCCUCAGCCAUCAGCUUGAGAACUAAGGGAUGAAGUUCAAAUACUCAGGACUCGAAAUUAACUAAAAGAUUUCAAUGGAUCAGUAGCUGCUUUUGGAUUUUCUAUUAAAUUUUCUAUUGUUUUUUUUUUUUUUUGGUUUUCUGGAAAUCACCACUGUUUUUGUUUUGAUUUUUUGAAGAUUUUGGGGUUUGCAUCUUCAAGUUUCAGAUCUGAAUCUUGUAGAGAGAAUGGGGGAAUUUUUGUGAGGCUCCCAGACUUCUAUUUCAAGGUAUAGAAAUGCACUUUUAUAGGCACAAAGAGGAGCAACUUCACAUUUUUAACUUUACAAAAUAGUCCCUCUUUUUAUUUCUUUUUAACCCUCUUAUUUUCUGACUUGUUACUUAAGUAAAGGCCUCUAAUUACUGAAAUUCAACUUGUACCCCCAUCUAGAGGGUUCUAGAGUGUUCUUUUGCCUAUGCAAUGCCUCUAUUACCCUUAUCCUGAUUUUUAAAUUACCAUUCCUAAUAAAACUACCCUUUUCACAUGUCCAAACUACCCUUGAAACCCCUCUUAAAUUACUACCCAACCAAAACCCGUUCAGCUAUAACCAAAAUCAGUCCCAAUUGAUACUAACUAAAUUGAAAAAUUAAUUAGACUAAUUAUUCACAGAACAAAACUAACAAUUGAAUGAACUAACUAUCACAGAAUCAAGGUGAAAUAAUAUAAAGACUAAAAGCAAUAUUGGACUGCAAAUUUAACAAGAAGUAACAGUUUUCAACAAGGUUAUUCGAUUGAAACUAAUCAAUUAAGCUAAUUAAACCUAAACUAACACCUAACGAUUAUACUAACAAUUGACCAAUUAAAACUGAAUAAGGCGAAAUUCAAAUAAGCUAAACAAGAAUGGCAAAUAGACUAAGAACAGUAUUGGAUUGAAAUUAAACUAACAAUCAAACUUAUUUAGAAACUAACUUCAAUUAGCAGAUAAAAUGAGCAUCAAACUAAACGAGAAAGAAGCUCACUAAUUAAAAUAGAUAGAGCAAAUGAAAGAGCAAAAGAGGAAUUAAAUCACUGAUAAACCAAGUAAAACGUGAAACUAUAGGAACACUUACUAUGGGAGACAUUCGAUCUUGGAAAACAAAUCUCCUAAAACAGACUUGACUUCAGCAGCCCUAGAUUUGAAAUUCGUUGAGCUUUAGUGAGAUUCGAAGGGUUUUGACCCGAGAUUCGGGAUGAGGAAAGGCCGGAUACUAUCUGGUAUCAAUUUGGGAUCAUUUGAAUGAUUUUUUGAUUUGGCCGGAAAGUUUCGGAUUAAGAUUCGAAUUGAUUGAAUGGGAUUUGAAGGAAGUGGUUAUGGGGGUUGGAAAGUGGAGGAAAAGACGAGUUGAGGGGGUAUUUUGGGGCUCAUUGGGAUCUCUGCCGCCGCCGCCGCCAGCUAUUUCCGACCGUCGGCGGACGACGGAGCCAUGGCAGAGACGGUGGGGACAUUGGUACGAGGAAGGAGACUUAUUGUCUCUAGGGUUAAACGAUUAUUCAUACAUUUUUAUUAUAAUCUUGAGAGCCAAAU
rnacentral:lncRNA from 1 species